rnacentral:rRNA from 1 species
UACGUAGGGUGCAGGCGUUAAUCGGAAUUACUGGGCGUAAAGCGUGCGCAGGCGGUUUGUUAAGACAGGUGUGAAAUCCCCGGGCUUAACCUGGGAACUGCGCUUGUUACUGGCAGACUUGAGUGUAGCAGAGGGGGGUGGAAUUCCACGUGUAGCAGUGAAAUGCGUAGAGAUGUGGAGGAACACCGAUGGCGAAGGCAGCCCCCUGGGCUAACACUGACGCUCAUGCACGAAAGCGUGGGGAGCAAACAGG